rnacentral:rRNA from 1 species
AUUGAACGCUGGCGGCAGGCCUAACACAUGCAAGUCGAGCGGAGCGGCGGACGGGUGAGUAAUGCCUAGGAAUCUGCCUGGUAGUGGGGGAUAACGUCCGGAAACGGGCGCUAAUACCGCAUACUAUCAGAUGAGCCUAGGUCGGAUUAGCUAGUUGGUGGGGUAAAGGCCUACCAAGGCGACGAACCCUAGCUGGUCUGAGAGGAUGACCAGCCACACUGGAGCUGAGACACGGUCCAGAGUCCUACGGGAGGCAGCAGUGGGGAAUAUUGCACAAGGGGCGCAAGCCUUGUGCAGCCAUGCCGCGUGUAUGAAGGAGGCCCUCGGGUUGUAAAGCACUUUCAGCGGGGAGGCGUUACCCGCAGAAGAAGCACCGGCUAACUCCGUGCCAGCAGCCGCGGUAAUUC